rnacentral:rRNA from 1 species
CUCCUGGAAACGGGUGGUAAUGCCGGAUGCUCCGCCUCCUCGCAUGGGGGGUCGGGAAGGCUUUUGCGGAAUGGGAUGGGGUCGCGUCCUAUCAGCUUGUUGGCGGGGCGACGGCCCACCAAGGCUUCGACGGGUAGCCGGCCUGAGAGGGCGACCGGCCACAUUGGGACUGAGAUACGGCCCAGACUCCUACGGGAGGCAGCAGUGGGGAAUAUUGCACAAUGGGGGGAACCCUGAUGCAGCGACGCCGCGUGCGGGAUGGAGGCCUUCGGGUCGUGAACCGCUUUUGAUUGGGAGCAAGCGUGAGUGAGUGUACCUUUCGAAUAAGCACCGGCUAACUACGUGCCAGCAGCCGCGGUAAUACGUAGGGUGCAAGCGUUGUCCGGAAUCAUUGGGCGUAAAGGGCUCGUAGGCGGUUCGUCGCGUCCGGUGUGAAAGCCCAUCGCUUAACGGUGGGUCUGCGCCGGGUACGGGCGGGCUUGAGUGCGGCAGGGGAGGCUGGAAUUCCCGGUGUAACGGUGGAAUGUGUAGAUAUCGGGAAGAACACC